rnacentral:rRNA from 1 species
CGUCCCCUACGGGGCGCAGCAGUGGGGGAUAUUGCACAAUGGGGGGAACCCUGAUGCAGCGACGCCGCGUGGGUGAAGGAGCGUUUCGGCGCGUAAAGCCCUAUCGGCAGGGAAGAAGAUGACGGUACCUGACCAAGAAGCCCCGGCUAACUACGUGCCAGCAGCCGCGGUAAUACGUAGGGGGCAAGCGUUAUCCGGAUUUACUGGGUGUAAAGGGGGCGCAGACGGCAAUGCAAUCCAGGAGUGAAAGCCCGGGGCCCAACCCCGGGACUGCUCUUGGAACUGCGUGGCUGGAGUGCAGGGGG